AUUGAACGCUGGCGGAAUGCUUUACACAUGCAAGUCGAGCGGCAGCGCGGCCUUCGGGCUGGCGGCGAGCGGCGAACGGGUGAGUAAUGCAUCGGAACAUGCCCAGUCGUGGGGGAUAACACUUCGAAAGAAGUGCUAAUACCGCAUACGUCCUGAGGGGGAAAGCGGGGGAUCGCAAGACCUCGCGCGAUUGGAGUGGCCGAUGUCAGAUUAGCUAGUUGGUGGGGUAAAGGCCUACCAAGGCGACGAUCUGUAGCUGGUCUGAGAGCAUGAUCAGCCACACUGGGACUGAGACACGGCCCAGACUCCUACGGGAGGCAGCAGUGGGGAAUUUUGGACAAUGGGGGCAACCCUGAACCAGCCAUUCAGCGUGAGUGAAGAAGGCCUUCGGGUUGUAAAGCUCUUUCGGCAGGAACGAAACGGUGGGCUCUAACAUAGUCCGCUAAUGACGGUACCUGAAGAAGAAGCACCGGCUAACUACGUG
rnacentral:rRNA from 1 species